AGCGAACGCUGGCGGCAGGCCUAACACAUGCAAGUCGAACGAAGUCUUCGGACUUAGUGGCGGACGGGUGAGUAACACGUGGGAACGUACCUUAUGGUUCGGAACAACUCAGGGAAACUUGAGCUAAUACCGGAUGAGCCCUUAGGGGGAAAGAUUUAUCGCCGAAAGAGCGGCCCGCGUUAGAUUAGCUAGUUGGUGAGGUAAAGGCUCACCAAGGCUACGAUCUAUAGCUGGUCUGAGAGGAUGAUCAGCCACACUGGGACUGAGACACGGCCCAGACUCCUACGGGAGGCAGCAGUGGGGAAUCUUGCGCAAUGGGUGAAAGCCUGACGCAGCCAUGCCGCGUGAAUGAUGAAGGUCUUAGGAUUGUAAAAUUCUUUUACCAGGGACGAUAAUGACGGUACCUGGAGAAAAAGCCCCGGCUAACUUCGUGCCAGCCGCCGCCGUAAUAC
rnacentral:rRNA from 1 species